rnacentral:rRNA from 1 species
GACGAACGCUGGCGGCGUGCUUAACACAUGCAAGUCGAACGGAAAGGCCCUGCUUUUGUGGGGUGCUCGAGUGGCGAACGGGUGAGUAACACGCGUGUAACCUGCCCCUGACUUUGGGAUAACAUCAGGAAACAGCGGCUCAUACCGGAUAGGAGCUCCUGCUGCAUGGUGGGGGCUGGUAAGUUUCGGCGGUUGGGGAUGGACUCGCGGCUUAUCAGCUUGUUGGUGGGGUAGUGGCUUACAAAGGCUUUGAAGGGUAGCCGGCCUGAGAGGGUGACCGGCCACAAUGGGACUGAGAUACGGCCCAGACUCCUACGGGAGGCAGCAGUGGAGAAUAUUGCACAAUGGGCGGAAGCCUGAUACAACAACGCCGCGUGCGUGAUGACCGCCUUCGUGUUGUGAACCGAUUUCGCCUGUAACGAAGCGUGAGUGACGGUAAUGGGUAAGGAAGCACCGGCUAACUACGUG